rnacentral:lncRNA from 1 species
ACUGCAGAGCUAGCGCUUCAGAUGGGUAUUGCUCAUUGUCAAAAUAAACACCUUUCUCUUCUAAGCAGUAAGAGCCAAACACUGCCUGUUCAGGGGCAAUCAGAUGUGGUGAUCUUAGCAGGAAUGCAUCUGUGUGAGAAUCAGAAAGGAGCAAACAAAAACCUUCCCCCUGAGGAUGAAUUGAGCAGGAGGAAAAGGUUAGACUUGGCUCCCCCACAAAGGACUGCAUUUUGCUCACUCGGGGUGCUUGUUACCAGCAUUGCUCUCACAUCAGUAGUUCCCAGUAAUGCAGGCAAGUCACAUGUGUAUGGGAAUGUGCAGGCUUGUAUGGGAGUCUGGUGGGAUCCACUGCCCACUCUUGUCUUUGGCAGGCAGCCGAGCCACAAGGGCACUCUACUGCCCACAGCAGCCUCGUAGCCGGCCACUGAACAGCUCAUAAAAGGAGGAGGGAUGCAAGGGUGGAAGACCAAAAAUCCCCUCCUGACAGGGAGGAAGGGUGGCAUGUGCAUGAAAUGUCCCUGAAUGCCCAUCUGCUCUGUCAUUGCUUAUUGUUGCACAGGGCUGUGGUGGCUCUGGUGUGCCCAGUUCUGCAGUGGUGGAAGCUGAUCAUCCUGAACAGUAACCAGAAAUGGAGGGUGUCUGGAGGAGACGAACACUCUUUUAAUGCCAUAUCCCUGCCUUCCUCUCUUUUGUUGCUGCUACUGCUUGUUUAUUGCUGACAGGUAAAUGCCAGUAGCUUCACUGUCAUGAAAGUCAUUUGUGUAAGGAGUGUAAUAAGAUGAAUGUGAGAUUUUACCCACCUGUAGUUUUGUUCCUCUUGAGAGGGAAAGAAAAAAAAAAAGAGUCUAGCCCUUAAAUCUUGCCCUUACUCACCUCUGGACAUCUUAUGUGUCAGAAACAGACUUGGAACUGUGAGCACCUGACCUAAGAAAAGAGCUCUUCCCUUUGCAGGAGCAUCAAGGAGCUGGAAGUAAAAAAAAUUUCACAUCCCCAGGACCUCUGCAUGGUGCUGAGGAGAAAAACCCUGCAAGAUCUGGAAGACAUUUGUAGGACAGAGCCUGUGUCGUUUACACUGGCUGAGUUGUCAUUGCUUUCCCCAGAGCUUGCUAAAUCAGGACGAGACUCGCUCAGUGCUCCCUCACUAGAUGAUAAUUAUAUUUGAAUAUUAAACAUCCACAUGGCUUACACAAGUUCCCUGAUUAACAAAGCACUUAGGUUGCAUGCAGCAGAAGAGACUUGAUUUCAGUUUGAUGAACAGGCACCUAAAUUUAGGUGUGUGCCCAUGGACCUGGCUGGAUGAGGGUUGUGUGAGCAGAAAGGCAAUUUUACCAGUUGCUGGGUUUUCAUGACAUGCUUGCAGGCAAAGCAAGUAAUCGCUUUUCUGUUUGAUGUGUAACUGGGCGGGGUGCCACUGGUU